rnacentral:lncRNA from 1 species
CUCUAUAAAUAAGAACGCACUGUUAGAGGACGGUGCUUAAACAUUUUUAUAUUUAACACUCCCCUCACGUCUGGGCUCAAAACUUUCUAAUCGGCCCAUGACGUAGGCUUGAAUUAAAUGGGAAGAAAUUAAUAUGCUAGGAGCCUGGCGUGACUCAAACUCAGGACCUCCUGCACUGAUACCAUAUGAAACAGCCGUUGUACUCUAAAAGUUUAAACUGUUAGAGAACGGUACUUAAACAUUUUUAUAUUUAACAUAAGCUCCCUUUUUUUUUUCUUUUUCUUUUUCUCCUUUUCUUUUAGUCCUUUUCCUCGAUUACACUCGCGAACACUUGUGGACUAAAUAAGAUCGCCUUUCCCAAGAGUACCUAGCACAGCUGGUUAAGGAUAUACGAGUGAUGAUCAUUACCCGAGGUUUCAAGUUUAAGACCUAAUUAUUUUAUCAUUCUACCUGAAUUCAUUUCCAAACGAUAAACAAAGCAGAUAAUUUUACUGAAUUUAAUUUUUUUGAUAGAUUUUUCUAUUUUUUUAUGAAAAAUUAAUAUUUUUGUUAGGUACAGAUCAGAUUCAUUUAAAUGGU